rnacentral:rRNA from 1 species
UACAGGGGGUGCAAACGUUGCUCGGAAUUAUUGGGCGUAAAGCGCGCGUAGGCGGCUACUUAAGUCGGAUGUGAAAGCCCCUGGCUCAACUGGGGAAGUGCACCCGAAACUGAGUAGCUUGAGUGCAAAAGAGGGCCGCGGAAUUCCCGGUGUAGUGGUGAAAUGCGUAGAUAUCGGGAGGAACACCAGUGGCGAAGGCGGCUACCUGGCCCACUCUUGACGCUGAGGCGCGAAAGCUAGGGGAGCAAACGGG